GCCGGCCUAGCUCAACUGGUAGAGCAACUGACUUGUAAUCAGUAGGUUGGGGGUUCAAGUACUUUGGCCGGCACCA
rnacentral:tRNA from 1 species